CAAGAGGAGAGAGCAUGCAAAUAUUUUCCUUAUAAAGUAUCAGUUUUGUAGUAUUGGUAAUGUAGUGAUAGCACGAGGUGACAGUACAGAGACAUUUUACCCUCAGAUGACACAGGGGCUGCAGAAAAAGUUCCGUAAAUCUUUCAAAACUGUCAGCUGGAAUCCAUUCCCUUUAGAUAUCUGGACAGGUAUGUGUAAAAGAUUAUAGAAAUUAAGAGAUGUGGUAUGAGUGCCAAUGAUACAACUCUUCAUCAAGGUCACAAUGUGUAAAAAGUAAACAAUUAUAGGUCAAAGUACAACUUCAACACGUAGCAUUGACAAUUACAUUUUAAUAAAGAUAUGACAUAUAUAGUCUUUUGUAGACAUCUAAGUUUUUCUAUUUCUAAUAUCUCGGGUUGUCAAGCAGUUUUAACAAAUGCGAGAAGACAAAAGUUAUUAUAUCUUGAGAAACACAUCAAAAUGAAACCUCACAAAAUGUUUUGAUUUGGUCCAAUAAAAUAACAGAAUUUGAAUUUCAUGUAAAAUAAAACCAGUUGUAACAGAGUGAUUAAUUGAAGUUUUUGUGUCUUUAGUUGUCGUAAAUCAUGUAUGAUUCAUGUAUGCUAAAAACAGCUACACCCAUACUAGUCUUCACUAACAAUGGAAGACAUAAAAUAUUCAUGGCAAUACUUGUUUAAUGUAGAAAUAUUUUUUCAUAGAGAACCUAACAAAAACUACUGUAAAUUCAGAAAUUAUUGCAAUGCUUGUAUUAUUGUGAAAAUGCCACAGGGUUAUAAUCACAAUAUGUAAACUCACAUUUUGAUUUUUUUUAUAAAUUAAAGAUGAUUUUUCACAAUAUCACAAAAAUUAUAAUCACAUUUUAGUCCAAAAUGACAAAAUCUCAAUUUUAAUUUCUGAGUUUACAGUACCUGUUUAUAAGGUAUAAAACAAAAAAAAAUCAGCUGUUCAAAAAAGUAUCUGCAUGAAUGAGAGAAAUACAUGAAAUAUGUGUCUUCAUCAACUAAUGAUUAUUGUUUCAGCCAAAACUAACAGUAUUGGACCAAAAGACACAGCUUCAAUAACAGUAGCAUCGAAUUCAGAGUCAAUAGUAGAAUACCUUGAGACUGUCUUUGAAAGGUCAAGGGUCAAAUUUGCUACCAAAGCUUAUCUCCAUUGGUACAACAAAUAUGGAGUAACUAAUGUAAGUGGGAUAGUGUUUCAGGGGAAGAUCAAUCCUUUUUAAAAAGGGUUGGUUCCCAACUCUGGAUAAAAAAGGGGGGGCAUAUGUCCCUAGACAAAUGCAUUGAUCGUCCCAAAAAAAGCAUGGUUCAAACCCCAGGAACCCCCCUCUGGAUCCACCACUGUGUUUAGAUAUUUAUACACUGCAGCUGUGCUAUUUGCGCUGUCAAAUUGCACUGUCCUUUAAAUCAUGUGUAUAGGAGAGUAGCUUACCUUAUGUCCCCUUGUUUAUGACCAAACAACACAGAUAAUAAACUCAUGUACGUGAAUUAGUGUGUUAUUUGGUUACUCGUUGAAUAUUUUUCUGUUUGAAUUUUUAUGCCCCACAUAAGAUAGUAGAGGCAUUAUGUUUUUAUUGGUCUGUGCGGUCAAGUUGUCUGUUCAUCUGUUCAUCUGAUUCGUUCAUAACCGUCCGUCUGUUUCCCACUCGGUUUAAGUGUUGGUCAAGGUAGUUUUUGAUGAAGCUGAAGGUCCAAUCAAUUGAACACUUAGUACACAUGUUACUUAUGAUAUGAUCUUCUAAUUUUAAAGCCAAAAAUUAAACUUUUUGACCCCAAUGUUCACGGUCCCAUCUGAACAUAGAAAAUGAAAGUGCGAUUUUCAGGUUUAAAGUUUUUGGUCAUAAUGGUAGUUUUAGAUGAAGCUGAAGUCCAAUCAACUUGGAAACUUAGUACACAUGUCCCUGUGAUAAUGAUCUUUUUCUAAUUUUAAGCUUAUUAUAUUUUUUUACCAAUUUUCACGGUCAUUUGAACAUGGAAAAUGAUAGUGCGAUGUCGUGGCCAUUCGCCGUGUAACUUGUAUGGACACAUUCUUGUUUUAAAUUAGUUAUUCUAUAAAUAUUAGGUAUUAAUUGUAUCUGUGCAAAGUAAAACUGAAAAUGGAAAUGGGGAAUAUUUCAAUCAGACAACAACCUGACCAAAUGGAAGGCCACCAAUGGGUCUUCAACGCAGUGAGAUAGUAUUUUCAUGAUCUCACUUUCAUCAAGAAUGCUCAAAGUCCAAUAUUUAAAACCUAUGUAUAUGUAAGCAUGAAAACACUAUUGAGUUAUAUGACAAAAAGUGACAAUAGUUGAUUUACACAUGUCUAAUGUCUGAAAGGGGCCUUGCCUCAGUGGCUGAGUGGUAUAAGUAGUCACUACUGUAACCACUAGCCAGUCAACACUGAGGUUGUGAGUUGGAACUGGUGCACUAGAUCUAAUCUUUAUUGUCUAGGAUAGUCAGCUUCCCUAUCAAAGGUCAGUGGUUUUCUCCAGGCACUAUGGCUUCCUCCACCAUUAAAAACUGGCCAUCAUGAAAUAGCCCAAAUGUGGUGCUAAAAACUGGCGUUAAAACGGAAAAAAACAAAAAUCAAAUGAAAUGUCUAAAUAAUUAAUCAAUGGUAACAGAUAUAAAGCUAAUCAUUGCAGUCACAGGAAAAACAAAGAAUAGUGAAGUUGUUGAUUUUGAAAUCCUGGUCUGUGAUCAUUUGAAACAGCAAACCUGAACACACCUAAAUGCAUUUUAAUUUAAAAAAAAGAAGUGUUUUGAAAAUGAGUAUUCCAAAGGAAAAUAUAAUUUAUCAGAACAGUGUAAAUUUUUUAAGAAUUUUUUUUGAUCUUUUUCAGGAGGAUUUUGAAGAAGCAUUUGGUGUUGUAGAAGACAUUAUACAGAAUUAUAAAAGUGCA
rnacentral:lncRNA from 1 species